GUAUAGUGACACAGUAACAGAGGGAUUGAGGGCCUGCUCAGUGAGUUUACAUGUUAGAGGGAGUGGGGUAUAGUGACACAGUAACAGAGGGAUUGAGGGCCUGCUCAGUGAGUUUACAUGUUAGAGGGAGUGGGGUAUAGUGACACAGUAACAGAGGGAUUGAGGGCCCUGCUCAGUGAGUUUACAUGCUAGAGGGAGUGGGGUAUAGUGACACAGUAACAGAGGGA